rnacentral:lncRNA from 1 species
CAAGGAUGGAUGGGUGGAGUUGGGUAGCCAUAAGGUGUGUAAUAGGUGUCUUUUUCUUAAGCUGUCAGUUCAGCGUCACUUUCCUCAGAUCACCCUUCACCUACCUUCUCCAUCUUCUUUCUCAUCAUAAUUCUUCACACGGCAUCUUACUGGAUAUCAUUCUCUGUUGUUCCCAGGAGUUUCGUAACUACCAGAAACAGGGCCUGUUCAUUUUGGAGAUGAGGAAACUGAAGCCCAUAGGGUGGAAAUGACUUGCAAAAUCCACAAAGCUAUGAAAUGGAACCUAGGUUUUCUCUCCUGAACUGCAGCCACCUUAUUGAUGAACCCGUCCACUUCCCCAGCCUAACUUUUAUUGGUCCUCUGUUACAUACCCUUGUUCCUUAGAUGUUGAUGACUCUAGGUGAUGCCCAUCUUCUACCUUGCUAGAAAUGGGUUUAGAUAUCAGAUCACAGUUGAUGAAACAGGCUCAUGCAACAAGCAAAAGGUCACAGAACAAAUCCGAGGGAAAGCCUGAACUAGAACCCAAAUCUGGGUAAGGGAAUAUUUUAAAAAUCAUCCUUUCCUCCUAAAGGAGUGCUUCUGAAUAUGGGUGGACCUCCCUUAUAUUAGCUAUCUGAAGCAUGUGAAUUUUUAUGUGGAGAGGAUCCAUAGCUUUUAUCAGAUUUUCAGUAUGAUUCAUAAUCCAAAAAACUGGAGGCGAAUGGCCCAACCAAGAGGAACCUUAAGAGACAUGACAAUUAAGUGUAAUGUGAACAACUAACAUGAUACAUUAACAUGAUUCUAACAUGACAAUUGACAGACAAUUAAAUAUAAUUUUUCAGUAAGGAGUGGUGAGGAAUGACUGUAAUCCCAGAGACUAGGGAGGCUUGGGCAGGAGGACUGCAAGUUCAAGGCCCUAAGCAACUUAGUGAGACCCUGUUUCAAAAUAAAAAAUAAAAAGGACUGGGGUGUGGCUCGGUGGUUAACUGUCCUGGGUUCAAUCCUUCCUACUAAACAUGAAUAUAAUUUUUCAGUGAAAUGGGAUCCUGGAACAUAAAAUGAACCUAAUACAAAAAAUAAAGGAAAUCUUUCAUUAAUAUUGAUCCAUUAGUUGUAACAAAUAUAUUCAUGUGGGGCUGGGGAUGUGGCUCAAGCGGUAGUGCGCUUGCCUGGCAUGCGUGCGGCCCCGGUUCCAUCCUCAGCACCACAUACAAACAAAGAUGUUGUGUCCGCCGAAAACUAAAAAAUAAAUAUCAAAAAAAUUCUCUCUCUCUUUAAAAAAAAUUUAAAAAAAAAUAUAUCAAUGAAAUAUGUUAAUAGAGGAAAGCGGGAGUAUAUGGGAACUUGCUGUAUUGCCUGUGUAAUUUUUUUGUAAAUCUAAAACUACUCUAAAGUC